rnacentral:rRNA from 1 species
AUGGCGAACACGCCGGUGUUGUCCCUGCCAGAUUGCUCUCGCCCCUUCACUAUCGAGACGGAUGUGUGCGACACGGGAGUCAGAGCAGUAUUGGUUCAAGACGGCCAUUCGGUCGCAUACCUUAGCAAGGCAUUGGGGGUUCGCAACCAGCGGCUCUCCAUCUACGAGAAUGAGUUCCUCACCGUGAUCAUGGCAAUUGACAAGUGGCGCGCCUACCUCUAGCAUGAUCCCUUCGUCAUCGUCACGGACCACAAGAGCUUGUGCAGCCUCGGCGAACAACCACUGGACACGGAGCUUCAGCGCAAGGCCAUGUCUAAGUUGGUGGGACUACAAUUCUCAUUCAAGUACCUCCGUGGCAUCGACAACGAUGCAGCAGACGCGCUCUCUCGUGUUGGGCACCUACUCUCCCUCGACGCUCUGUCGACCUGCCAACCACAAUGGCUGCAAGAGGUGGCCAAUUCCAAUGAGACCGAUGCCGAUGGUCAAGACCUGCUUCAACGACUCGCCAUAUGCAGUCCCAAUAAGCAGGGCUAUGAGCUUCGUCAAGGAGUCAUUCACUUCCACGACAAGCUAUGGAUCGGAGCAAACACCGCCCUCCAAACCAAGCUGACCAGCGCACUCGAUGCCAGCGUUGUGGGUGUCCAUUCUGGAGUCACCGCCACCUACCAAUGA